CCGAUAUUCCUUCCAAACCCCAUCCCAGCAAGAUGAACUUAGACUUCCGGCUUCACGCUACGGUAGCAACAAGAAAAAACAGCUUGUCGCUUCCGGUACAAUACCCACCGCCUCGUCUAGGUACAUGCACAUUAAACAGAGGACUACAUAUGAUCGCCAUUAUAACGACAACUCGCCAGCUGUUGUUACGCAGAUUAAGGAAUCUGGCAAGAAAAUCGGGGCUGAGGUUCUUCGGAAACACUUAGAGAAAACGGAAGGAGAAGAUGUGCAAAAUUUAAACUACAAUUGCUCUAGAACGGAGUUAAACCACCCUGUGUUACGAAUGCAACAGCGGUCUAAAAA